rnacentral:rRNA from 1 species
CCCAUUAAAGUGGUACGCGAGCUGGGUUCAGAACGUCGGGAGACAGUUCGGUCCCUAUCCGGCGCAGGCGUAGGAAAUUUGAGAAGACCUGUCCUUAGUACGAGAGGACCGGGAUGGACGUACCUCUGGUGUACCAGUUGUCCUGCCAAGGGCAUGGCUGGGUAGAUAUGUACGGAAUGGAUAAGCGCUGAAAGCAUCUAAGCGCGAAGCCAACUUCAAGAUAAGAUUUCCCACCGCAAGGGUAAGACCCCAGAAAGACUAUCUGGUUGAUAGGUCGAAGGUGUAAGUGCAGC